CAGGUCUCAGUGAGUGCCAGUAUUGUGAGAGAGUUAGAGAUGAGGAGGUCAUGUAUUGCUGUAGAUUUGAUAUUACUACAAAUGGAGCGAGCAUUCCAGAGUGCACACUGAAUUUUGGUAGAGGAGGAUAGACUGCAGGGUAUUUGGAGGAGGUUUGCAUGGUUUCUGGUAAUUUUAGUGUGAGCAGAUGAGGUGAGGGGCCCUGGGUUGGGAGAGACGUCACCAGCUGCCAGAAGUAGGAGGAGAGAU